rnacentral:telomerase_RNA from 1 species
CACGAGAGGGUCGAGAGCCAUGUGGUCUUGUUCGCAAGUAUCGCUGGCGGUGGAAUAACCCAAACAAACCCUAUCCGUGUAAUGCGGAUUUAGCAAUGGUGUUUACUUCACCCGUUGGUUCACUCCAAAAAUUCAACGGGUUACU